rnacentral:rRNA from 1 species
AUUGAACGCUGGCGGCAUGCUUUACACAUGCAAGUCGAACGGUAACAGGGUGCUUGCACCGCUGACGAGUGGCGAACGGGUGAGUAAUGCGUCGGAACGUGCCGAGUAGUGGGGGAUAACGCAGCGAAAGUUGUGCUAAUACCGCAUACGUACUGAGGUAGAAAGUGGGGGACCUUCGGGCCUCACGCUAUUCGAGCGGCCGACGCCUGAUUAGCUAGUAGGUGAGGUAAAGGCUCACCUAGGCGACGAUCAGUAGCGGGUCUGAGAGGAUGAUCCGCCACACCGGGACUGAGACACGGCCCAGACUCCUACGGGAGGCAGCAGUGGGGAAUUUUGGACAAUGGGCGCAAGCCUGAUCCAGCCAUGCCGCGUGUCUGAAGAAGACCUUCGGGUUGUAAAGGACUUUUGUCCGGGAGCAAAUGCCUGGUGUUAAUAGCACUGGGAGCUGAGAGUACCGGAAGAAUAAGCACCGGCUAACUACGUGCCAGCAGCCGCCGUAAAAC